UAACACAUGCAAGUCGAACGAUGACUCUCUAGCUUGCUAGAGAUGAUUAGUGGCGGACGGGUGAGUAACAUUUAGGAAUCUACCUAGUAGUGGGGGAUAGCUCGGGGAAACUCGAAUUAAUACCGCAUACGACCUACGGGUGAAAGGGGGCGCAAGCUCUUGCUAUUAGAUGAGCCUAAAUCAGAUUAGCUAGUUGGUGGGGUAAAGGCCCACCAAGGCGACGAUCUGUAACUGGUCUGAGAGGAUGAUCAGUCACACCGGAACUGAGACACGGUCCGGACUCCUACGGGAGGCAGCAGUGGGGAAUAUUGGACAAUGGGGGCAACCCUGAUCCAGCCAUGCCGCGUGUGUGAAGAAGGCCUUUUGGUUGUAAAGCACUUUAAGCAGGGAGGAGAGGCUAAUGGUUAAUACCCAUUAGAUUAGACGUUACCUGCAGAAUAAGCACCGGCUAACUCUGUGCCAGCAGCCGCGGUAAUACAGAGGGUGCGAGCGUUAAUCGGAAUUACUGGGCGUAAAGCGAGUGUAGGUGGCUCAUUAAGUCACAUGUGAAAUCCCCGGGCUUAACCUGGGAACUGCAUGUGAUACUGGUGGUGCUAGAAUAUGUGAGAGGGAAGUAGAAUUCCAGGUGUAGCGGUGAAAUGCGUAGAGAUCUGGAGGAAUACCGAUGGCGAAGG
rnacentral:rRNA from 1 species